GUUCUCUACAAUUCCUCUUUCUCUCUUAACCUAAUUCCACAUUUCCACCCGCAAUUCAUCAGAUCCUCAUCAAAUCAUCCGAUCGUUUUACACUUUCUUCGGUUCACGCUAUCAAAUCUCAUGAUUUCACCCGAUCAAACACAUCGGAUUGCAUGAAUUCGAUUUGGCAUUGGCGAUGUGAUUAAAAAGUGUCGCUUUACAUCGGUCGUGAGGCUAUAAAGUCAAUCCUUCAAUAGCAAUUAAGCCUUUGCAACCAGAUCACAAGAAGCAUACGGAUGACGACGGCUCUUGUUCAGUAGCAUCCUCGUAUCCAUAUCUUUGUUUGUUUCCUUUUGCUUGGUUUUCUUUUUUUGUUUUGCCCUUGUUCGACUUCUUAGCCAUACUAACGAACUGCUGCAUCAGCAAGGACAUGAUUUUCAAGCCAGCUUCUGCAUCGGCCUCAGUGUUCUACUUCCUAAGAGGGUAUAUAUCGUGAGAAGCUUUGGAACUUUUUUAUGAAACUGAAAUUCUCACCCAAAAGAACGUUUAGGCUUCUCAUAUAAAGAUUUGGAAUUUGGAAUGUUACUUAUUACACAACGUUUGGUUAACAUUUGGAAUAUCUUUCGGAUCUAAUUUUUUAUUGAAGUUAUAAUAUUAUGAUUCCUAC
rnacentral:lncRNA from 1 species